AUACGGAGGAUGCGAGCGUUAUCCGGAUUUAUUGGGUUUAAAGGGAGCGUAGGCGGGAGCUUAAGUCAGCGGUUAAAUGGUGCGGCUCAACCGUGCCCUGCCGUUGACACUGGGUUUCUUGAGAGUGCAAGAGGCGGAUGGAAUUCAUGGUGUAGCGGUGAAAUGCUUAGAUAUCAUGAAGAACUCCGAUUGCGAAGGCAGUCCGCUGGGGCACGUCUGACGCUGAUGCUCGAAGGUGCGGGAAUCAAACAGGAUUAGAUACCCUGGUAGUCCGCACGGUAAACGAUGAUUACCCGCUGUCGGCGGUAGACAGUCGGCGGCCAAGCGAAAGCGAUAAGUAAUCCACCUGGGGAGUACGCCGGCAACGGUGAAACUCAAAUGAAUUGGCGGGG
rnacentral:rRNA from 1 species